rnacentral:rRNA from 1 species
UGGGGAAUCUUGGACAAUGGGCGCAAGCCUGAUGCAGCAACGCCGCGUGCGGGAAGACGGCCCUAGGGUUGUAAACCGCUUUCAGCAGGGAAGAAACUGACGGUACCUGCAGAAGAAGAUGCGGCCAACUACGUGCCAGCAGCCGCGGUGACACGUAGGCAUCAAGCGUUAUCCGGAUUUAUUGGGCGUAAAGAGCUCGUAGGCGGUUCGGUAAGUCGGGUGUGAAACUCUGGGCUCAACCCAGAGAGGCCACUCGAUACUGCUGUGACUAGAGUGCGGUAGGGGAGCGGGGAAUUCCUGGUGUAGCGGUGAAAUGCGCAGAUAUCAGGAGGAACACCAGUGGCGAAGGCGCCGCUCUGGGCCGUAACUGACGCUGAGGAGCGAAAGCAUGGGUAGCAAACAGGAUUAGAUACCCUGGUAGUCCAUGCCGUAAACGUUGGGCACUAGGUGUGGGUCUCAACCGAACGAGAUCCGCGCCGUCGCUAACGCAUUAAGUGCCCGCCUGGGAGUACGGUCGCAAGACU